rnacentral:misc_RNA from 1 species
GAAGUGCGAGAAGUGUCACGACUUGCAGAAUCCCGAGAGCUGACAAAUCUCUGAAUGCAAAUUGCGGCCGAUGAACUCGGCCAUGUAUCGUAGAGUGUAGUAGUGCAUACACACCAUCUCUCUUUCUUUCUCCAUCCGUGGAGGGAGGAACAAGAGGAUCUGCACUUGUCCGCGGACGCAUUGAGUACGUGGGCGAGAGUAAAGAGACGGUACGAGGAGACGUCACACAAAGAACCCUCCUUGUGCUUCGGAAAACAUGAAUUUCCUGUGUGAUUGAAUUCACGCGGGAGCCAACAAAUUCUACAACACACCUCUGCGAUGCAGGAAAACCCGCUGAACUUAA